rnacentral:miRNA from 1 species
GCUGGGCUGUGCCUGCAAUCGGU